GUACGUGCAUACAACAUAGCUUUAGUGCACCGGAUCCCAUUAGAACUCUGUAGUUAAGCACACUCGGGAUAGAGUAGUACUAGGAUGGGUGAUCGCCCAGGAAGUCCUUAUGUUUUACAUGCC
rfam:Picea glauca, whole genome shotgun sequence.